rnacentral:lncRNA from 1 species
UAUUCACAUCCAGACAUCUAGUUUAUUGGUCUCUGAAGUUAACCGUCUCUCUAGUUUGUUGGUCUCUGGACUGGAGUUCUUAUAUUAUGAAUGCCGCUCCGUACAUAAUCACACGCUCUCAAUGUUGAAACUAUAUUAAAGUCAGAUGUACGAAUUGCAGUACAAUUUAGUCCAACACAACGAGUUUUCGGAACAACAAUAAAUCUAUAUCAGCACGAAGUCUGAAAUUUGUGCCUGAUAUGGCAAUAAGCUUGCUCUCUUCCACGUGGAGGUACGGAAAACACUUGCCAAAGUUGGUCACCCUACGCCUUGGUGUACUCCAUCCAUCUACUACUCCAGGGCUUAUCCCUGGAGCCUAUAGCCUUUAGGCUAAAUAUGUCUUUGUUUUUCUUUGUCUGUUCAAAUAAAAUUAAAUUCAACUAUA